rnacentral:rRNA from 1 species
GAUGAACGCUGGCGGCGUGCCUAAUACAUGCAAGUCGAGCGGACGGACGAGAAUCUUGCUUUUCUGAUGUUAGCGGCGGACGGGUGAGUAACACGUGGAUAACCUCCCUAUCAGACUGGGAUAACUUCGAGAAACCGGAGCUAAUACCAGAAAAUAUUUUGAACCGCAUGGUUCAAAAGUGAAAGACGGUCUUGCUGUCACUGAUAGAUGGUUCCGCGCUGCAUUAGCGGGUUGGUACGGUAACGGCUUACCAAGGCAACGAUGCAUAGCCGACCUGAGGGGGUGAUCGGCCACACUGGAACUGGAACACGGUCCAGACUCCGACGGGGGGCCGCAGUAGGCAAUCUUCCGAAAUGGGCGUAGGCGUGACGGAGCAACGCCGCGUGAGUGAUGAGGGUCUUGGGAUCGUGAAGCUCUGUUAUUAGGGAAGAACAUAUGUGUAAGUAGCUGUGGACAUAUUGACGGUACCUGGUGAAAAAGCCACGGCUAACUACGUG